UACGAAGGGUGCAAGCGUUAAUCGGAAUUACUGGGCGUAAAGCGCGCGUAGGUGGUUCAGUAAGUUGGAAGUGAAAUCCCCGGGCUCAACCUGGGAACUGCUUUCAAAACUGCUGAGCUAGAGUACGGUAGAGGGUGGUGGAAUUUCCUGUGUAGCGGUGAAAUGCGUAGAUAUAGGAAGGAACACCAGUGGCGAAGGCGACCACCUGGACUGAUAAUGACACUGAGGUGCGAAAGCGUGGGGAGCAAACAGG
rnacentral:rRNA from 1 species